rnacentral:rRNA from 1 species
GAUGAACGCUGGCGGCGUGCCUAACACAUGCAAGUCGAGCGAUCUUCUUCGGAAGAGAGCGGCGGACGGGUGAGUAACGCGUGGGUAACCUGCCCUGUACACACGGAUAACAUACCGAAAGGUAUGCUAAUACGAGAUAACAUGCUUUUAUCGCAUGGUAGAAGUAUCAAAGCUCCGGCGGUACAGGAUGGACCCGCGUCUGAUUAGCUAGUUGGUAAGGUAACGGCUUACCAAGGCGACGAUCAGUAGCCGACCUGAGAGGGUGAUCGGCCACAUUGGAACUGAGACACGGCCCAGACUCCUACGGGAGGCAGCAGUGGGGAAUAUUGCACAAUGGGCGAAAGCCUGAUGCAGCAACGCCGCGUGAGGGACGACGGCCUUCGGGUUGUAAACCUCUUUUAGCAAGGAAGAAGCGAAAGUGACGGUACUUGCAGAAAAAGCGCCGGCUAACUACGUG